rnacentral:rRNA from 1 species
GGGUCAUUAGGUUGGUCGUGCCACCGGUACGUACUGGUCUCACUGAUUCCUCCUUCCUGAAGAACCGUAAUGCCAUUAAUUUGGUGUUGCGGGGAAACAGGACUGUUACUUUGAAAAAAUUAGAGUGUUUAAAGCAGGCUAACGCUUGAAUACAUUAGCAUGGAAUAAUGAAAUAGGACGAUCGAUCCUAUUUUGUUGGUUUCUAGGAUUGACGUA